CCCUUAGAUGUUCGGGGCCGCACGCGCGUUACACUGAUGCAUUCAACGAGCUUAUAACCUUGGCCGAGAGGCCUGGGCAAUCUUGUUAACGUGCAUCGUGAUAGGGAUAGAUUAUUGAAAUUAUUAAUCUUGAACGAGGAAUUCCUAGUAAACGCAGAUCAUCAAUCUGCAUUGAUUACGUCCCUGCCCUUUGUACACACCGCCCGUCGCACCUACCGAUUGGAUGGUCCGGUGAAGCCUCGGGAUUGUGGUUCUUGCCGCUUUAUUGUGGCGUGACCGCGAGAACUUGUCUAAACCUUAUCAUCUAGAGGAAGGUGAAGUCGUAACA
rnacentral:rRNA from 1 species